rnacentral:SRP_RNA from 1 species
GCUGGGCGUGGCAGCGCGCGCCUGUAAUCCCAGCUACUCGGGAGGCUGAGGCAGUAGAAUUGCUUGAACCCAGGAGGUAGAGGUUGCAGUGAGCCAAGAUCAUGCCACUGGAGUCUGGCCUGGGUAACACAGUGAGACUCAGUCUCAA